AUUCUAGCUAAAUAGGAGCUAGUUUUAGGAAACUAGUUCCUUUCUAUUGCUAAGCUAAGUUUUCUCCUUGUUGGAUGUGGUAUCUGACUCCUCUGACAGGGUCAUGUCUCUUGAAGUAGUUGUUGACUCCUCGGCCUUCGAGUUGCACUGUAGAUCCUCCUUCGAUGCCUCCAUAUCUAAGCAGGGGAUUUAAGAGUGGGAUGAGUACGAGCGUACUCAACAAGUUCAUUAUAGGAAAGAGGUGUUUAAUGCACUAGCUACAACAUUAGACCAGAAAGUCUAAUACCAAUGCAGGUUUUCAUAACCAUUUCUUCAAAAGGUUGCUUUUAUUUAGAAGAACUAUGUCCAUCAGCCUUCACCGGUUUACUAGAACUUCAUGGAGCUCCU